GUAAUACUUCCUCCGUUCAAAAAUACUUGUCGAAGAAAUAGAUGUAUCUAGACAUAUUUCAAUCUUAGAUACAUCCAUUUUGAUCCAUUUCUCCGACAAGUAUUUCUGGACGGAGGGAGUAAAUC
rfam:Triticum aestivum genome assembly, contig: Triticum_aestivum_CS42_TGACv1_scaffold_031472_1BL